rnacentral:sRNA from 1 species
CUCUUCGCUACUCCGUAGUGACGGAGAUUGUUGUGUUGCAAAAAUCCGGCCGUCGACCUGAGGACUUGCGUGCAGCUCAGCUCCCGGGACGUUUGGAGAUCUUUCCAGCAUCUCAGGAUCAGAAGACUCAGACUCAGCCAGUGAGGAGGACUUGCAGACACUGGAUCGGGAGAGGGCUACAUUUGAGAAGUUUAGCCGACCCCAAGGCUUUUACCCUCAUCGAGUUCUUUUCCAGAAUGCCCAGGGCCAGUUUCUUUAUGCCUACCGCUGUGUCCUAGGCCCUCAUCAGGCAAGUGACAGUACAGGUUGUAUGGCUAACCCCAGCCUUUUGUACACCCAGCCUAGAUUUCCCUAAACCUAAUGCAUUUCUCCCUGCUUUUCUUCCUUCCUGUUGGGUGUGGGUAUCACGCUUGACAACAUAGUCUUGAAUUGAAACUGGCCUGAAUUGUGGAAGGGUUAAGUGUAAUGGCAUUAAGUUUGGAAACAAACCAAUUUAGGUUUGAACUGUGAUUCUACCACUUCAUCUUGCCUGCCUCGCCAAGCCUCAGAUUUCCUUGUUUGUCAAAUGGAAACAAG